rnacentral:rRNA from 1 species
GUAAUCGCGCAUCUGCCAUGGCGCGGUGAAUACGUUCCCGGGCCUUGUACACACCGCCCGUCAAGCCAUGGGAGCCGGGGGGCGCCUGAAGUCCGGGACCGCGAGGACCGGCCUAGGGCGAAACUGGUAACUGGGGCUAAGUCGUAACAAGGUAAC